GGGGCUGGCGGCAGCCUACACAUGCAGUCGAGCGGCAGCGCGGACUUCCGUGUGGUGGUGAGUGGCAACCGGGUGAGUGUGGUAUCUGACCGUGACCCUGACCGGGGGAUGGCUACACCUACUGGUAACUGAUACCGCUUACGCCCUACGGCGGAAAACCAGGGAUCUUCAGACCUUGCCCUCUUGCAGCGGCAUAUGUCCGAUUGGCUUUUUGGUGGGGGAGCGGCCUCCCCUCGCCACGAUCCCUAUCUGGUUUGAGAGGAAGACCAUCCACACUGGCACUGAAACUGAGACCAGACUCCUACUGCAGGCGGAGGUGGGGAAGUUUGAUCUUUGGGGGAGAACCCUGAUCCUGCCGUCCCCCUUGCGCGAGGAAGGCCUUCGGCUUGUGAUUGACUU
rnacentral:rRNA from 1 species